GCUGGGCACGGUGGUGCGUGCCUAUAGUCCUAGCUACUUGGGAGACUGAGGCUGGAGGAUCAGAUGGCUUGAGCCCAGGAGUUCUGGGCUGUAGUGCGCUAUGCCUAUUAGGUGUCUGCACUAAGUUUGGCAUCAAUAUGGUGACCUCCCGGGAGCAAGGGACCACCAGGUUGCCUAGGGAGGAGUGAACUGACCCAGGUCAGAAACGGAGCACGUCAAAACUCCCAUGCUGAUCAGUAGUGGGAUGGCACCUGUGAAUAGCCAUUGCAUUCCAGCCUGGGCAAGAUAGGGAGACCCAGUCUCU
rnacentral:SRP_RNA from 1 species